rnacentral:rRNA from 1 species
AUUGAACGCUGGCGGCAUGCCUUACACAUGCAAGUCGAACGGCAGCACGGGUGCUUGCACCUGGUGGCGAGUGGCGAACGGGUGAGUAAUACAUCGGAACGUACCUUAUCGUGGGGGAUAACGCAGCGAAAGUUGCGCUAAUACCGCAUACGCCCUGAGGGGGAAAGCGGGGGACCGUAAGGCCUCGCGCGAUUAGAGCGGCCGAUGUCUGAUUAGCUUGUUGGUGAGGUAAAAGCUCACCAAGGCGAUGAUCAGUAGCUGGUCUGAGAGGACGAUCAGCCACACUGGGACUGAGACACGGCCCAGACUCCUACGGGAGGCAGCAGUGGGGAAUUUUGGACAAUGGGGGCAACCCUGAUCCAGCAAUGCCGCGUGAGUGAAGAAGGCCUGCGGGUUGUAAAGCUCUUUUGUCAGGGAAGAAACAGCAGCUCUAACACAGUCUGCGAAUGACGGUACCUGAAGAAUAAGCACCGGCUAACUACGUG